CGAAGUUGAAAGAGAUUUUAAAGGCUGUUCGCACCUAGGCGAACUCUCAUAUACAAUUGUCAAAAUGUGUGUGAUGACAAAAGCAAAAAUAUUUCCUUCCUUCUUUUUCUCAUGCAAAAAUUAAACAAAUAUCAGCACCUUCGUAGUCGCGAAUGUCAGAUGAGCUCUCAUAAUUUCGGCGAAAGUGAGGCGAUCAUAAAAAUUAAAACAUCAUUCACUUACACCAUUUUGAUUUUACUCGUCAUCUGUUUCGUGUGCUACUGAAAAUUUUUAAUACUUUCUAUCGGAUUUUGUUAUUAGAAUAGGAAAUAAAAUCUGAAAUGUUUCCCGGGUUGGAGAUGCUUCUAGAUGCAGCCACCCAAAUGGAAAAGAAAUGUCUGCCGGAUAGUGAUCCGACAAGUGAACGGAGUUUCGAAUUGGAUGUAAGAAAGUCGAGAAAUCAAAAAAGGUGCAAUGAUCACCAGUAUGCCAAGCAACCGGAAUCGUCAUUUGUGCACACCGGAGCUAAUGUGAUGUAUACAACCUUCCCCUUUGGAUCAACAUCAAAUCCGGGCAUUGUAAAACGGUUUCCGUUUUCCGACAUUUCCAAGCCUUUAACCUGAGGGGUCAUUCAGCUCUAUCCGACGAGCAGUCCUGGAAUUUGUACAAACAUGAUGUGAGAGAAACUUCAUUUAAACGAACAAAUAUCAUCUCUUGUGCAGAUCCAGUGCCGAUUGGGAUUGAUUUAAUUGAACUUCACAACAUUGAAAAUGGGCUCAUCAUUCUACCGGAUGCAAAAUUGGCAGACUUGAAAGCAUUAUUACCGUAUAUAAAAAACAAGAGCUAUUAUCAAACAUUCCUAAAGACGCUAGUACCAGCCAAACGUGGCAGAAAGAAAAAGUCGCAUCAAAUAGAUCAUUUUGAAAACGAUAUGGAUCCGCCGGAAAGUGAUGGCGAACCGAAAGCUGAAUACUGAAUGGUUAAAAUGAAGAUAUCGUCGUCGUUCCAGAUCACGAGUUUCACGUUUAUUCCCGUUUUACGAUAUUGUCGUAAACAAUUUAGCAUUGCAAAAAGCUGCUAUUUCAAGAGCGAGUUAUUCAUUAACCUAGCGCUGAUUGUUUACAAUGUUUGCUAGUCUGCACUCUGAACAUAGGCAUCGAAAUGUUUAAUGAAAUAGCAGAGAAAACGCCUUCAAUUUAAGUCUAAGUAAAAAUACUUUAUUUUGAUAACAUGCACGUAGUCCCAAUGUAUUGGAAAAUUAAUUUCCAUCUGUUUGCAUUUUUUAAUUGGUACACUUAUUGAACUAAAUG